rnacentral:SRP_RNA from 1 species
GCCGGGUGCAGUGGUGUGUGCCUGUAGUCCCCGCUACUUGGGAGGCUGAGGCUGGAGGAUUGCUGGAGUCCAGGAGUUCUGGGCUGUAGUGCACUAUGCUGAUUGGGCGUCUGCACUAAGUUCGGCAUCAAUAUGGUGACCUCCUGGGAGCGGGGGACCACCAGGUUGCCUAAGGAGGGGUGAACCGGCCCAGGUCGGAAACAGAGCAGGUCAAAACUCCCAUGCUGAUCAGUAGUGGGAUCACGCCUAUGAAGAGCCACUGCACUCCAGCCUGGGCAACAUAGCAAGACCCCUCUUU